CGCGGGGUGGAGCAGUCUGGUAGCUCGUCGGGCUCAUAACCCGAAGGUCAUAGGUUCGAAUCCUAUCCCCGCAACCA
rnacentral:tRNA from 1 species